UGGGGAAUAUUGCACAAUGGGCGCAAGCCUGAUGCAGCCAUGCCGCGUGUGUGAAGAAGGCCUUCGGGUUGUAAAGCACUUUCAGCGGGGAGGAAGGCGUUAAGGUUAAUAACCUUGGCGAUUGACGUUACCCGCAGAAGAAGCACCGGCUAACUCCGUGCCAGCAGCCGCGGUAAUACGGAGGGUGCAAGCGUUAAUCGGAAUUACUGGGCGUAAAGCGCACGCAGGCGGUCUGUCAAGUCGGAUGUGAAAUCCCCGGGCUCAACCUGGGAACUGCAUUCGAAGCUGGCAGGCUAGAGUCUUGUAGAGGGGGGUAGAAUUCCAGGUGUAGCGGUGAAAUGCGUAGAGAUCUGGAGGAAUACCGGUGGCGAAGGCGGCCCCCUGGACAAAGACUGACGCUCAGGUGCGAAAGCGUGGGGAGCAAACAGG
rnacentral:rRNA from 1 species